rnacentral:lncRNA from 1 species
CACCCGCCCCCCAUCUCACGGCGAGUGCCGCCAGGCGGGGCCGCGCCGCACCUGAGGCCGUCCGCACCUCCGUCGCUGCCCCCGCUGUACGCGCUUCUCCCUCCCGUGUGCACUCGGGGUCCGGAGAGUUCCCCGUCUGCGGGCAGAAGGAUGGGAACAGAACUGCGUUUUCGUUAUGUGACGCGGAACAAGGACGGGGGGGAGAGGGGGGUCCGGGAGGGUUCUCGGUUGGUGAUGCUACAGCCCUCGGCUCAGAAAUGCCACUUGGUUGGAAACUGUGAGGAACAUAUGUAAGAGGGAACGGGGCUGAAGCCUGCAGUAUUCGUUGUAUGGUCCGUACGGGCAAACAAACGGUAAAACCCGGCUGGAAAGCUCCGCUUUUCUGGUGUCGCUGAAUUUGCUGUGGCACAACAGCCCCAAGCACCUGGUGCGAGGCUCCUGCAACCUGCCGUGCAAUCCAAGUCCAGGGCCGCUUUAGUCCUGAACCUCUCUGCCCUGUGCUCACCCCGCCAACCUUCAGUGUCCCUCUGGUGAUCGCUCCGUUGCUUGGACUUUCCGCUUCUGUCUCAUUUCUUCUCUGGUUUGAGCUUAGGGCUUCUCUGGGUGCGGCAGUUUUGUUCUAUGGGAUCGCACAGUGCCUGUGGUACCUGGGAUGCUGGGUUUCUUCAUGCAGAAGGCACCUCUAGCCUCGCUGGCUGACAGCAUGGCCCAAGCAGAGCAGGCUGGUUGUUCCCUGUGUCGCUGGGAAGCCAUCAGCAGGCAGAACGGAUGAUUGAAAAUACUGCUGCAGUACACAAUUGCUGAAGUUGGUCGUAUUUCACUUCACAGAUUGGUUAACAAAAAGUUGAUGGAACAGAAAUUUUGGCUAAGCUCACUCUAUCCUCAGAAAAACAUCCUUACCUUCGCUCUUCUCCGUAGCACUUUUAAGUUACAAAACCACAGAGCUCUGUUUUCAGAAAACACAAUGUAGGAAAAGGAUCCAUUGUGCCAGUUCUCAUCUGCAAAGUACUUCUCCCGCCCAGCCAAAUUCUGCCUUCUGUACGAUGAAUCACGGAGUCAUUAAGGUUGAGAAAGACCACUAGGAGCACAAGCCCAGCCGUCACCAUGCCCCGCCGUGCCCACGUCCCUCAGUGCCACAUCCACACGGCUCUUAAUCACCCCCAGGGUUGGGGCCUCCACCACCUCCCUGUGGUGGAGGUGGUGUGGUGGUGGAGGCCUGUGCCACUGCCUCGCCACUUCUAAGAAACGUUUCCUAAUAUCUACCCUGAUGAAGACUGAGAGAAUCACAUAGGUGCUUCACCCCUGCCGCUGCACCCUGUGCACCUGGCUAAAAAUGUGUAAAAAUCACAUUCCAGAGCUGUUCUUUGUAACAUGAUGUGUCUGUGGAGAAGCACAGCCAUGUGUUGCAGCUCUCGGGGCAGCCCCCUCUCCAUUCCCAGUACUGGUCAGUGCUGGCCUCGUGCAGCCUCUCACCUGCCCACCUCCCUGCAGGACCUGGGGCCUACAGUCAGGGCCGCUGCUGCCAGAUUAUUAUUAUUAUUCUUUAUCUUCUGUGAAAAACAUUGUGGUGGUUUUUUGUUUGUUUGUUUUGUGUUGGAAGAAAAAAAAGGAAAGAAAGAAAGAAAAAAAAAGCUGUGUUGUUUGCAGUCUGUUAUACAUUAACAGAAGUUAUGUUGCGGUGAGCAGGGCCGGACCCGGGUGCCCAAUGCGAAAACGCUGACUGUCAGAUGUUUGCAUCUCAAUAAGCUGUCUGUGCUGGAGAGCUUUCAGGGAUAAAGUCCCAAAUAGCUGAAGUAUUGCACUGCGUGUUUUCCUCAGCCACAACUGAGAACAGCUGAGUGCACUGCAAACGAUGGCAGCAGAGUGGCAGUCUGACAGAAUGGCAUCUGACAUGGAAGUGCGUAUGAAGCAAAGAUGUCUCAUGGAAUUCCUGCAGACAGAAAAAAAUGGCACCCGUUGACAUUCAUUGAUGCUUGUUGAACGUUUAUGGAGCCAAGCAGUGAAUGCGAGCACGGUGAGGGCUGGGUGGUGUGUCUCAGAGAGAUGCUGUCACAGCAGCUGACUUCACCCCAGUUGUGUCUGCUGUACCUGACACAACUCCCACUCAGAGCACUGCUGGUGCUUUCCACCUCCCCGCCCCUUGGAAGCCAACAUUCUUCAUCUUUCUUCUCCCAGUGCAAAUUUUCUCAGUCCCACGCUUGCUCUACCUGCUCUAUCACUCUUGUACUAUCUAUUCGACUCACUCCUGUGCAGUCCCAUUAAACCUCUCUGCUGCUUUGCAUUUCACCUGCGGGAUAAUCCUCACGCACACCACUUAGUACAUCAGCUCACCACCUACCAACUUGUUCACGUGCUGUUCUUCCACAGAUGCCACUGUUUAAAAUCACUAUAAUUCCAUGAAGUCUUACCACCACCUUUUCACAGAAAUACCUGCUUUACUUUUUAUCCAUUGAAUUUCAAGAGCCUUCUCUUUAAGCCUUUUCCAUUAAAGCACUUACUUGCAACUCCUCUCUAAUCUUUCUAUAAAAUCCCACCUAUGUUUCAAGAUACUUCUGAGGUCAAAUCUCCUUGUAGAAGUAAAAUAAUCCUCCACCGUAGCACUGUUGUCCCUCUUGACUCUUCCUUUUAACCUCUUCUUGCACAUCAUCUGGCAGCAAUACUUGCUUUCCUGUCUCAGAUCACUCACACUGCCUUAGACAGCAUCCCUAGGAUGAGCAAACCUACUGAAGACUGCUUUGCACAUACACGAGUGUCUUCCUCCUUGCACUCUCUCAUUAUUUCCAGUUAUGUCUCUAACAGAAGAGGACAUCCCUGACAGAGACUGUCAAAAGACUUGCUCUGUAAGUCUCGGUGCUGCUCUGUAAGUCUCGGCUUCUUCCCUCUGCCAAGAGAAGAUUCAUUUGUAGCAGAUCCCAGUGAAGGAGUGAAGCUGUGGAGAAUAACGCAGAGAUGCCCUCUGUCUCAUUUCUGGUUUCAAGUUGUUUUUGCAUUUUUGUCUGAGAGGGGAUAAACUGCUAUCCCUUGCAAUUUAAUACCACUUUCUGUUACUUCUGAGCUGUGCACGCUAUCUAAAUCUGAGAGGCUUACCCUAUCAUCGUGGCUUUUUAUUUCCCAAACUUUUCUUCCAGGAUUUAAUUAAAUUAUUCUUCUUUUCCCCUCCAUGGAUCUUAGUGCUGCAGUGCUAACCUUCUGGCAAGGUUCACCUCUGUAAUACGCUGACAGCUAACGGUGUUCUUUCGAGUCACUGUGGUCAGUGGGUCAGCUAUGGCACUUUGGUCUGGCUUCUGUCUGGAAACUCAUACAAAUCUGACAAUCUCUCCUCUGCUGAAAUACCAACUUUGUACAAUUUGCUGUGUUACUGAAUUCCUUAAAAUGUUUUAGGUGCUAGGUCCUGAUUUGAAAUGUUGCAAGUGAUAAUAACAGCUUUGUGUAAUAGCUAGAUUUAUCAGCAGGUGUUAGCGUUGGAGAUCAGUCCUAGGGGCACACCUUCUCAUCUGGUUUCUGUCCGUGUUUCUACUCUUCUUGAACUCUGCUAUCAUUUGACCAUAAAUAAACAAAUAGUUUCUAC